AGAGAAAAGAACGUGUGAAAAAUUUCAAAUAGAUAUCUCAAAAAUAGACGGAAGUGGCUAAAUCGUCAUAUUUUUGAUGAUUUUCUUGUUUUUGUUUUUUAUCCUCAAUUGCAUAUAUUGUAAAAGUGUUAUCCCAAGCUAUUUAUUGAUAUACGUUUUUUAAAUUUAUCGAUCCCGAUAUCACAUCCUCAAAAUCGUAUUAGACGGAAUGCAACACUGUAAGUGCGCACAAAGAACGAAUAACGGAAAUGAUAACAAAAUAGAAUUGGUUAAAACAAAUGUUAAACAACCAAUUGUGCUAAUAUACAUAUGUAUGUAUGUAUAUCAGAAAAUUCAGUAAUUUGUUUUUUUAAUAACGAUUAAAAAAAGUUUAUUGCAUUGAAACACAUCUGAAUGGUGCGUGUAUUUACGAAAACGUCAAAACUCAGAGGAAAUUCCAGCACAAAGUACACGUACAAUGUUUCAUUGCCACCCACAGUGGGUGUAAGAGCUAGAACAGAUUUCCACUUACAGACUUUAUCGUUCUGCAUGAAUAGAUGCGCAGACAUUCCAACCAAUUGUAAUUCCUUUGCAGUGACAGUUUUCAGAGGACCUUCGCCGAAGUUGGAAGCAAUAAUUGAAAAGUCUCUAAAGUCAGUUUUUUCUCAAAUAAAGCUCCAUACUGAGCCAGAAGUCAGCAUUGUAAAGCAGUGGCCAAAGGCAUACAUAACAUUACAGUUCAGCAAUCCUAUAUACUAUAGUGCGCGUAUCUUGAACGUACUUGCAUGCAAAAUCGAUUAGAGUGUGGAAUUUUAUAAAACAUGCGUCUUCAUUGACACAUAUUAAGUAAUAAUCGCGGGUUUUUAGGUGUAACAUAUAUAAUAUUUUACGUACCUAUUUCAUUUCAGAAAAGCAAACAGUUCGUAUAUUUAAAAAUUCGAAAUUUAUUGAUUUACAAUUGGUCAUUGACAAAAAAGAAACACACAGUUAAAUAAUUGCUUAUUUUACCUUCAUACAUUUUCUGUAAAAAAAAAAGAAUUGUAAUAUUGAAACUAAAGGGUGUCAGUGAAAUUAAACACAAAUAUAAAUAUCUUAACAUUGAAAAGUUCAUAUUGGCAAAAAGAAAGUAAAAAAAAAAAUCUGCAAAGUAGUCAACAGUCGCAGCAAUCGUACAAGUCAGUGUUCGUUUGAAAAGAACUCGUAAAAACGUGAGAGAUUCGUGAGAAUUUUUUCUCCACGCGAACAAUCAACCCCUGUUUUCUUAUUCGGGGCAUACCUAUUGUACAUUCCACAAAACCGUUGUGACGCGCAUUUAAAAAUCGCCACCCACUAACAAACCAACAAGCACACAUCUGCACCAUAUUCUUGGUUUGGUAGUGUGCUCAUUAUUCUGCUCUUCCACGCACUAGUUACUACCUUAAGCCCAUAAUCGGCACGCCGUCUACAAGUCUACUUUUGCCUACAUACAUAAAAACCACGAGUUACUUGAAGUCGAAACACUCCCACCAAUACACACGUAUCGAUUGAUAUAGAAAAGUGCCAGCAAGUGCAUCGUUGUCAAAUAUAAUUUACGUGAAGAGAAAUUCGUUGAAGAUAGAAGCAAGAAAACCGUUAGUGGUCGAAUAUGUUCUCUGGUCUAACAAAUCAAUUCACUUCAUUGGUGGGCGCCGUCAAGGGCGGUCAAGCCGAUGAAGACGUGCCUGCACCUACUCAAGAUGCUGUUGCCGCUCCAGAAGUAUCCGCUGCUACAGCAGCACCAACACCAGCUGUUGGCGCCGAACAAGCAGCGAAUGCAGCUGGCGUCAUUGGGGAGCAGCCUGUUGAAGGUGAAGAGGGCGCUAAAAGUGGUUGGUUGGGAAGUGCCAAAGGCUGGUUAGGCAGUGCCAGCGCUUCAAUUCCAUCAAUGCCGGCAAUGCCUACCAUGUCUAUGCCAUCAAUGCCAGCCAUGCCGUCGAUGCCCUCCAUUCCGGGGCUGCGCAAAGGUGGCGCCGAAGCUGGUGAGGGUGUCGCCGCAGAUGGCGCUGUCGCCGAAAGCGGAGAUCCCACAGGUGCCGUGAGUGGUGAAGAUGAUGACAAAUCGAGGUACAUUAGCGCUACAGAGGGUGCUGAUUCACACCCCGCUUCCGGCGGUGGCACUCCCACUGGAGAUGAGGGUCAAAUCGGACAGGUUACCACCAAAGUAACACAGCAGGCAAAACAUUUCGGCUCAUUUUUGUCGUCGGCCAUAAAUAAGGCGGGCGCCAAAAUCAAGGAGACUGUCAAGGAAAACCCCAUCCUCGAGUCAUUCAACAAAGAACAGGAAGCCUUUAUUAAAAGUCAAGGUGGCGCAGAUUCCGGUGGCGCACCUUGGAUUGGACACGCCAAUGAGGCUAAGAUCAAAGAGGAAAUUCUCGGCCUCUCACAAGAUCGUCGCAAUUUCGUGCGCGCACCACCAGCCGGUGUUGAUUUUGACUUCAACUACGAUACAGCGUAUCCCACAGCUAUUGCCAUAAUGGCCGAGGAUAAAGCGCUGGAAACAAUGCGAUUCGAACUGGUGCCCAAAAUUAUAACCGAGGAGAAUUUCUGGCGGAAUUAUUUCUAUCGCGUUUCACUAAUUAUUCAGGCAGCUGAAUUGGGUACACUAGGCGCCGAUGGCGUUGGUCAGGCCUCAAGCGGUGAAGACGCAAUGACAUUUAAUUAUUAAACCUUAACAAGUCACGAAAGACAAGCAUAAUAAAAAUAAUAAAACAUGAUCUGAAAUACAAAUAUAUAUUAUAUAUAAAUAAGUAUAAACAAUAUUAAAUAUAAAAAACAAAAUGUUUACAUAAAAUGUAAUAAAAAUGCAAGGUGAAAUUGCGACUUAAUAAAAUAUGUAAUUAGAAAUAGGCGUUACAAAUUUUAUUAGUGAACAACAACAAGAAAAAAGAUUCUAAAUUGUCGAAAGCAACUAUCAAACGUAACGAAAAUAAUAAAAUUAACAAAAAUAAAAAAAUAUAUAUAUAUGAAAAUAGACAAUUGCACAUACACACGAACACACCCAUACAUACGCGUAAAGAGUACGUAUUUCAGCGUGUGCGUAGACAUAAUUGACAAAUUUUACUUCUGCGUAUUGCAAAUUAACACACAAUUACACAAAUACAUACAUGUAGCUGCAUACAUAUAUGUAUAAUUUAUAUGUAUGCAUGUAUAAGCGCGUUAGCAAACGGUUUAAACUACAGCAACAAAUAACAAUAACUACAAUAUUUACUGAUUUUGCUACAUACCUACAUACUUUUGUGUAUGUAUGUGUGUUACACUUUUGUAGCUUAUAAUUUCGUACAUUUGCCAUUAGUAAAAUAAACGCAUACUCUACUCCACAUAUUUUUCAUUUAACAUUAUACCACUAUUCAAUUUAGUUUGUUUUUAUUUUUAUUAAAAUUAUUAUUUUUUCUUUGGAAUUUUUUGGCACGCUUUUCUCGCUAACUCGCUUCCCUGCCUUUGUACAAAAUCUUCAAUACUUGAAUUUCACAGAUUUUAUUUAUUUAUUUGCCUUGGUGCUCAUAUACGCUUUGCUUUUCUUCUACAUUUGCCAUUUUCAAAAACCGAUAAAAGCUCAAAAAAAAAAAAAAAAACAAAUUCAAAAUUACUCUGAAAUUUAAAUUUUUAGUUCAUAUUAGUUUUUGUAGUCAACAAGUGAAAAAGUAUUUACUAUAAAACAUCGCGCCUUUGGGCAAAAGUAUACGAAACACAAAAAGCAAAUGCUUAUAUUAUUACAUUUAUAUGCGCCGUUUGCAAAUUCGUUACAAAACCAAAUCAAUUUGACUUUUUACUCUGAAACAAAAUGCAUAAUUAUUUAUUUACUUUUCUUUUCGUUUCGUUUUUAAUCAUCUUGCAGAAGAUUGAAUGGAUUUACGCUAAAUUACUAUGUAUUUAAAGAAAACAAAACAAAAAAAAAAUUAAACAAAACUAACAAAAUUACAAAAGAAAGCAAAAACCAAAGUAUCACAUAAACUUUAUGUAAAACAAACAAAAUACCAAAACAAAAAUCGCAAAGAUUAGAAAAGAAACCAAGCUCCCUGAUACAAAGAAAUGCAAUGAAAUUUAAAUAAGAAAAAACUGCAAAUCCAACAAAAAGCAAACCAAAAGUAUGUUUACUCAAUAUACAUAAUACAAAAAACCAAGAAGCAUAAAAAUGAAAAAUUUUAAAAAAAAAAUUACUUAUAAAAAAUAUGAAAAGUCAAAAAACAUAACAAAAAGAUUUUGUGUGAAGAACAAUGGGAAAAAGAUCUGGAGGCUGAGUUAAAGGACUACGAAGUGGUAAGCGACACAACAGGCGGCACGACAACAACUCACAGUCGUGACCGCGGUGGUGGCGGCGCCGGCAAUACAGAUGAUGCCAAUGGCGAUGACGACGAAAUACCGACAAUAUCUAAUCUGCGCACACGUUCAACAAACAACGAUUGGGAGGAGUAUGCCGAUCUGAUCGAAGAUACCGAUGAUUUAAAGUAAUUAAGAGCCUAUAUCGUAGCUUCUUCUAACUAAGUUCAUACAUAUAAUCGUUCAAUAUAAUUAAAUGGCACUGAUACCAUCUGCUUCACUAACACUACAACUACAACAUACAUAUAUACAUAUUUGUAACCAAUAUGUACUGCCCCUUCGAUCUGUCAUUAAUGUAUGAAAAUGUAUUGUUUGUUUAUUUAAAUUUAAACUUUUCAAUUACUACGCAUACUACGUUUACUUGACUUACCAUAAUUGUACUUGUAUUUGACGUGUAACAUAUAUUUUCUGGUUUCUCUUCUUUUCUCUCCUCUCACAUACUUUUCCAUACCCGACUUUUGCUAUCGACGGCUUUACCGUUACUUUCUGACGUUACCUUUAAUUUAUUGUGUACCAUAAAACAUUUUUAUUUCCAAUCAAAUGUAACUGUAUUUUAUGUUUUGUGGUUGUGUUUGUAUUGAAAACUGUAUUGCUGCCAAUGAAAUACACAUUGAAUGAAUUUAUUAUAAAUCAAUUACAAUAAUUCGUAACGUUAUAAUAUGUAACGCAAAACCAACAAAUUUGAAAACAAAAAACCUAAUGUAAUUGUUGUUGAUUUAUACAAAUAAAAUAUUAUAUAACACAUUUACUUGGUAUAGAACACUAAAGAGUUUAAAGCGGGUUAUGUUGGGCUAUCAAUGAGCCGAAUGGUUCUUCUCGCGAUUUUCUAGUGUUAUUUAUUUUAUUUUUUUUUUUUUAAUCAAAUGAUGUAACAAAUUCCAGAAUAAUAACUAAUUUUUUUGUUUAAUUUGAAAUAUUUAAUACAUUUGUAUAAAUUAUAUAAAUUUUUAUUUUACACUUUGGGCUAUAAAAUUUCCGAUAAAACUUAGCAAUUUUGAAAUCUUAUGCAAAACAUUUUCAAUAUAACAAAUUGUUUUUGUUUUUUCAAUUGCAUUUAUUAAUAAUUUUUUACACUAAUAUUUUAAUUUAAUGUGCAGUGUUAACAAAAGAAUUCAUUAUUUUUUCAAAGUUUACAUUACUUUUAUUUAAAAAUUAUUUAUAUUAAACAUUUUCUUUUACAUUUAAAAAUAAAAAUAUGGUAAAUAAUUUACACAAUUUAAUAAAAUAAUAUAUAAAUAUAAAUAUUUUUUUUUAAUAAUGCAAACAAUAAAAAGAUAAUAUUUUUUGAUAAUAUUUUAGUUAUGACUCUAAUAUACAAAAAAUAUUAUCUUUUUACUGUUUGCUUUAUUAUCAUUUAAGAAUUGAGUUUUGAAUUUUAAUUUUUUUUAUUUUAUGACGUUAUUUGGAAAAAAUAAUAAAAAUUAGAAACCACUAAAACCGUAUGUAUGUAUAUUUUCGUACUAAUUUUUUUUUUUUGCUUAGUAUAAAAUUCAUUACAAAUUAAGCAUUGUUUUUGGAAUUUAAAGUAAUGACUGCUUUCUAUUUUUAUUUUUGUUUCGAAUUAUAUGUAAAUUUCGCUUUUUUUUAAAUUAAUUAUAGUAAAACCAAAAAAAAUUAUUUAACUUUUUAAAAUAAUUUCAUUUUAAUAUUUUUUUCAGUAUAAAAGUUAAAUUUCUGAAUUAAUUACAAAAUAUGAUAUCAAAAUGUUAUUAAACUUAUUUAAAUGCUUCUAUUUUGUAUAUGCUACAAAUGUCUUCAACAAUUUUUAAAUGUAAAACUUUUGCUGAAAUUGAACUUGCAAAAAACGACUAACUUAAACGCAUGUUCCAUUAUAAUUUGAAGGGCACUAGUUAGCGUCAGUGUCUCAAACUCUGCUCCAAACAUUCAACACACAAAAUGCAAUACGUUUUGUGGCAGACGCAAUUACCACACAUUUGUUAUUGAAAUUUAAGAAAAUUGUUUGCAGCAGCGUAGGAUAUUGUAGUAAAACAUUUCCGAUAUGUACAUGAAAAACUAGGAAACGGGUAACGAUAAUGGCAAAUUAAAUAGUAACCAAGAAGAUAACUAUACAUCCAAAAUACUACAAGAAAUAUAAACUAAUAAAAAAUAUAAACACUUAAAACAAAAUAAACAUACUAAAUUAAACACAUGUUAUAAAAAAUAUUUAUACAUACAUAUAUCAAUGUAUAUGAAUAGCUUAUAUGUAUACAUACAUAUAUAUAUAUAUAUAUUACAUAACAAAAUUUCUUUAGAACUAAAGCUAACAGCAACUAUGCAUACAAAAACAUAUAUAUAUACAUAAUUAUGUUUAUGUAUAUUGAAUUUGAAAAUAAAAAAAAGAAGUUGUCAUUAAAGUUCACCACAAGUGAGCUAAAAAUUAGGAGAGCGCAAGCCGUUUGGGUAAAUAUAGAACAAGAAAAGUAGCAAAUACUGCGAAAAGCUUCAAAGGGAAUAAACUUUUUUGUUACAAAAAAUAAAAAUAAAAUAUUUAUAUAUAUAUAUAUAUAUAAUUAAA